GGGCCCGCACAAGCGGUGGAGCAUGUGGUUUAAUUCGACGCAACGCGCAGAACCUUACCAGCCCUUGACAUGGGGAGUAUGGUCAGUGGAGACACUGUCCUUCAGUUCGGCUGGCUCCCACACAGGUGCUGCAUGGCUGUCGUCAGCUCGUGUCGUGAGAUGUUGGUUAAGUCCCGCAACGAGCGCAACCCCUGUUCCUAGUUGCUACCGGGUAAUGCCGGGCACUCUAGGGAAACUGCCGGUGACAAGCCGGAGGAAGGCGGGGAUGACGUCAAGUCCUCAUGGCCCUUAUGGGCUGGGCUACACACGUGCUACAAUGGCGAUGACAAUGGGCAGCGACCUCGCGAGAGGGAGCAAA
rnacentral:rRNA from 1 species